GCUAGUCGGCCCCGGGUCAUCCUCUCAACCGGUUUCCUUCCAGCGUCCGAUAAAAUGGUCCGAGCAAAAGAUGAUCCAUUCCCCCGCUGGUGAGAGAGAGAGAGAGAGAUUAGGGUUGCGAUCCUCCCCUUUCUAAGCUUUCUUCCUUCCAGCCCGGGAUUCGUCGUUGUCGGCUGGAGGAAUAAAUCUCUUUCCCUCUUCUCCUUCCUUCUGCUGCGGCGUGGCCCACGAGGAGGAGGAGGAGGAGGAAUAGGCCUCCGAUGUUAGUUUCUGCGGCUUCUCUUCCGGCGGGCUCUCUGCCCGCCGGAUUUCGAACACGCCGCGCGGACGUAUGAGCAUGAGGUGUCCAAAAUACGAGGCCGGUGAACUCUUCUGGACCCCCACCUUCAAUCUUUUUUCUUUUUGCCCUUUCUCUCUCUCUCUCUCUUGUUUGGGAAUUGCGUCCUUGUUUGGGUUUGCAUGGGAGCUUUUCCUGGGGUUGCUCCCUUCGAAUUCGGCCAGGUGUUCUAAUCUCGCAAGCAAUUUCUUUCUUUUGUUCUUUUCUUUCUUUGGUUCUUUUCUUUUCUUUUCCCUCCAAAGAUUUCCCCCUUUUCUGCUAGGACUGUGCUCCGUUUGAUUCGUUAAACAUUUCGUUCUAUCUCCUCGGUCCCGUUCGUCCUUCCAUUCCGUUCUAUUCCCUUCGAUUGUCGUUGGAAUGUCCGGGAAUCGCGCUGCCGCUGGUUUGGAUUGGGAUUAUUUGUGGAACUGGUCAAGGUUUGCUCGAUUUCUUGAUGGAUACCUGCUUCUUGUAUGAGAUUCUUGGAAGUACUUUCUCAGGACUUUCUUAUGCUGGCUCGCUCGGUCUUAUCAUAGGUUUUGUCUGAUUCAUGUAUGGGAAAGUUGGAUCUUAAUCUCGUUCUUUGACAAUUCAUUCAUGAUCAACGCGAUAUCCGUUAGCGAUAUUCUGGUUUCUGCUGUGCUAACAGGGUUUGGCCUUUCCUUUUUUUUCUCUCUUUUUUUUUAAAAAAAAUAAGAAAAUGCGCAAUGUGAUUCUGGAAACUGUAUUGUUACCAUCUACCUUCUGCCAUUGUUUCAUUAACAAUCUAUAUUAUUAUUUUUAUUUUGAAAAAAAAGCUUGCUUGCUGGAGCGGUAAUAAUAAAUAAGAACUUUUGCUGCCAAAGUGCAGUGCACAUGAAGAAAGGCUUAACAAAAAAGGGCAAAUUGGCUUCAUGGAUGCAUGUAAUUCUUCACGAAUCCAUUCCCUGGUGGUAAAUUGGCCACUCAAAUUUUGUCACCUAUAUCUUUUCUUCUUUUAGCUGGGAAUAAUAGUUAAUUUUUGUGGUCAAUAUUUUGAAAAGAUGGUAUGAAUGGAUUUUAUACGCCAGAGUUUUGUAUGUUGAAUUAUUUUGUGUUCAAUAUUGUGCUUAUAUUUCUAAAAUUUUAUUUUGUGGCUCUCAGCUUGUUUUUGGAUGAGAUGCUUUGUUGUCUUUUCAUUCUUUUUUUUUUUCAAACAUUGUUAUGGAUUAUUCUCCUACUGGUGCAAGUUGCAACUUCUAUUAUUGCACAUACUUCGCACUCCUUCCUUCUGCUGUCUUUUUUGCCAGUUCUUAAUCAUUAUUCGUAUGAAGUGUUUUCUGCCUUUUUAUUUGUGUAGAUAUAGCUGGACAGGAAGCAAAGGAAUGACAUGGACUUACAUAUUUGCCAUGUUAGUGAUAGUUCUUUCAUUGGUUCUGCUUCAUCUCCUGUUUCUUCCGAUGAAGAUGAUUUCUUCCAGUGUGAUAGCAUUGUUAGGAAUUGGGCCGAUUCUUCAAGUGAAAGUGGAAUCAGAGAAGAUUUAAUCAACUCUAAAGGAUCUGUUAUUCUUUUUACAUGUCCCAGGAUUGAGGGUUGGACAUAUUUCUGCUGGUAAAUAGUUCUGGCAUUGUUGUUGGUGGCAGUAGUCUCUCUCUCUCUCUCUCUCACAGUUUCGUGGGAAAGCUUUACACAAGUGCUCAAGAAAGUCUGCACUCCUAUGACAAAUUGCAUUUUGAUCCAAGGCUCUGAGCUGAAUGAAGGCACAAAAGCAAAUAUCUGUGAUUCAUCUGAUUGUUGGUGCUCAUCAUGAAUGCAGUAGGGUUGACAAACAACUCUUGUUUAGUAGAAUCACAUGAGGUGGGGCAUUGUGUGCGGAAACACUAGAACUGGGCCAUUUGUACUCUAGAUUGCUAAGGUACACAAAAAUUAAAACCUUGGAUAAUGCCUUGAAUUGUGCACUUCAUUUUUUGUUGAUCAAAGAACAAGUGAGCAGCUUAUGAAUCCUAUAUUGGAUCAUAUGUUAUAUGUUGGCCUUACUGAAGAUCACAAGAAAUCUGCUAUAGAUGUUUUGUCAAUAUGGUUGGUUCUCGAAGUUCUUUCCCAAUCGGAGGCCUUAAAUAUGGAGCAGGAGGAUACUACCGAAUUGAACCUCUUUUCCAGAUCCUGAAGGCUGAAGCUGAUGGAUCAAAUCAGGUUCAGCGUGGCACCAACAGCAAACAAGCCGGCGAGAUUCCCUCUCACGAAUGUUGAACGAGAAAAAGAAAAUGGAGCCCCACUGCCAUAAUUAAAUUUCUUUGAAGUUUCGGUACUCAUUUUGUACGAUUAUAAUAUGGACUUGAUAUCUAUUGCCUAUCCUUCAUUAGAGGAAUAGCCUUACUGUUUUCUCAUCUUUAUUUCUGUCCUCUUUCCUGUUUAGCUGCUAUUUAUUUUCACCUAUAUCAGAUGACAGUCAGUAAGCUGUGGAAACUUAUGAAGCAUGCAUUUCGACUUUCUGAAAA